GCCGCAGCAGGAUGCCGGCCGCCUGGAUGAGCUCGCAGCCCAGGAUGCGCAGGUCGGUCUCGCACUGCAGGUCCAGCCCGUCCUGCAUGGAGGGGGUGGGCGAGAGCCGCUCCUCGGGGAUCAGCGAGUGGUCGAUGGUUGUCCAGGACGAACAAACCUGCUGGGAAACAGAGGUGUGAGGCUGCCAAACCCCCAUGGACCUGGGCCAGGCUGUGGUAUCAUCAUUAAUAGAGCAGAGGGUCAUGGUGGUUCACUGCUGCCAGGUGGUUGUGCCAAGCAAGAUGAAGAUAAAAGCAUCUGUAGAGAUAUAAAUCCAAUAUUUUUAGCCUCUGUCUCCCAAACUUCUACAGGAACAGCCGUGGUAGAGGAGGCUGAGCUGCUUCUGCACUGUUUCUUCCUACUCAUGGGGUGUGGCCCCUUAUUUUGUGUCAUGGUUACAAUUGUUAAUAAACUUCCUUAGUUUUACAAACAACUCUUUUAGAAAUAUCA